rnacentral:snRNA from 1 species
UUAACAAUACCUUACAACA